rnacentral:lncRNA from 1 species
UGCUACUGUUUCCAAUAACUGAUUCCAAGUUGAAUUCAUCCUAGAAUGUUGAGGUUUCCAAGUACUUACCAAGUAUUUACCAGCUCAAGAACAUUACAGAUUUCUCAUCAACUUGCCCAGGCCUCUUCUGAUCACCAUUUGCUUAGUAUCCUCAUUAGAAACUUGGAACCUCCCAUAUGAAAGCGAGGGCCUAUUUCAUCUCCAAUAAUGUAGUUCUGGUGAGCUGUUGGAGGUAUAGUUGAAAGGCGGUGUUGGGUGCACAGUGGGUGCACCUCCUGCCCUCUCUGAGGAUGCCUUCUGGAUCUUCAACACUGUGAGAUCACUCAACCCUGUCUGGAAUUUAUGUGAAUUGGGCUCAAUGAACUUAAUUAUAUGGAUGAAGUCAUACGAACCCACCUCCAUACCCCUGUCUAAAGUUUUUGCAGAAAAAAUAUGCAAAAAUAAAUAUAAGGAUCCAGA